UACGAAGGGGGCUAGCGUUGCUCGGAAUUACUGGGCGUAAAGGGAGCGUAGGCGGGUCGUCAAGUUGGGGGUGAAAGCCCAGGGCUCAACCUUGGAAUUGCCUUCAAAACUGACGAUCUAGAGUAUGGAAGAGGUAAGUGGAACUCCGAGUGUAGAGGUGAAAUUCGUAGAUAUUCGGAAGAACACCAGUGGCGAAGGCGACUUACUGGUCCAUGACUGACGCUGAGGCUCGAAAGCUAGGGGAGCAAACAGG
rnacentral:rRNA from 1 species